AGGCUUUGAUCCUGGCUCAGGAUGAACGCUAGCGGGAGGCUAAUACAUGCAAGUCGAGCGGUAAAGUGACUUCGGUUACUUGAGAGCGGCGCACGGGUGAGUAACGCGUACAUGACCUACCUGUAAGAAGGGGAUAGCCCUGGGAAACUGGGAUUAAUACCCUAUGGUAUUGGAUUGUAGAAUUCAAUUAAAGCUGAGGCGCUUACAGAUGGGUGUGCGUCUGAUUAGCUAGUUGGUGAGGUAAAGGCUCACCAAGGCGAUGAUCAGUAGGGGGCGUGAGAGCGUGAUCCCCCACACGGGUACUGAGACACGGACCCGACUCCUACGGGAGGCAGCAGUAAGGAAUAUUGGACAAUGCCCGCAAGGGUGAUCCAGCCAUCCCGCGUGCAGGAAGAAUGCCCUAUGGGUUGUAAACUGCUUUUAUAAGGGAAGAAACCCCUGGUUUUAACUGGGGCUGACGGUACCUUAGGAAUAAGCACCGGCUACUCCGUGC
rnacentral:rRNA from 1 species